UACGUAGGGAGCAAGCGUUGUCCGGAAUCAUUGAGCGUAAAGCGCGCGUAGGCGGCCUCAUAAGUCCGUUGUGAAAGUCAAAGGCUCAACCUUUGGAAGCCGAUGGAUACUGUGAGGCUAGAGUCCGGAAGAGGCGAGUGGAAUUCCUGGUGUAGCGGUGGAAUGCGCAGAUAUCAGGAGGAACACCAAUAGCGAAGGCAGCUCGCUGGGACGUUACUGACACUGAGGCGCGAAAGCGUGGGGAGCGAACAGG
rnacentral:rRNA from 1 species